GCAUAGACUGCAAUAUCGUCUCCUUAAUCAAAAAACCGUACCCGACAGACAUCCACUGCCACGAAUACAGGAUUUGAUAGACACGCUAGGUGAGUACUCAAUGUUCAGCAUACUGGACCAAGGUAAAGCUUGCCACCAGGGGUUGGUGGCAGAAGGGUCAUGCCAUCUCACUGCCUUCAUCACUCCCUGGGGGCUUUACGAAUGGGUACGGAUCCCGUUCAUACUUUCUAAUGCACCUGCAGCUUUUCAGAGGAGCAUGGAGGAGAUGUUAGGCUCUCUGAGAGACGAGUACUGCAUCCCGUACCUGGAUGAGCUACUGUGCUAUUCCAGAUCUUUCAGUGACAAUGUGGAGGUGAUUUGCAAUGUUCUCCAAGCACUGCAGCUUCAUGGGGUGAAACUAUGGGCAGAAAAGUGUGAGAUAUUUCAGAAUGAGGUUCGUUAUGUUGGAUGCUUGGUGUCGGCUGAGGGAGUUCAAAUUGACCCCAAAGACCUAGAGGCAGUGAAAACCAAAACACCCCAAACAGUUGGUGACCUCCGACGGGUUCUUAGCUUCCUGAGUUAUUACCAUUCCUACAUACAGGACUUUGCAAAAAUAGCAAAACUAUUGUAUGAGCUGCUCCAAGUUAAAUCCUUAAUGCCCCAACACCUUCCACGUCAUUGCAAGUCUAAGGGUCCACAACUUCCAUCCAAAACACCCAUCAUAUGGAAAGCUGAUCACCAAAGUACCUUGGAAAGGCUUGUCAGUAUGCUGACCAACCCCCCAGUGUUUGCAUACCCCAACUUCGAGGAGCCAUUCAUCCUACACACAGAUGCAUACAAAUGUUUGUAUUUGGUUUCAUACAAAUGAAUGUAAGUUAAUGUUUGUGAAAUAUGUGAGGAAAUUUAUGUGAAAACAGACUUUUUGAAGAAUAUAAGGCUAUUGUUAUCAAAAUGUGGAUAUAACCUGUACUUCAAUGCAAAGCAGACAAAGAUAACAGAAAAUGAUUCAUGAUUGCCGAUGCAGUGAAGUUCAAAUGAAGUUGAAAAUAAAUAUAAUCCGUUACUGGAGAAUGAGCAACCGUUGUCCUGCAUCGCUGAUUUCUCAGGAAUAUUUCUGAUAUUUUCGGUUUCAGGAUUAUCUAUAUAUCUGCCAGUGGGGACCUAGCAGGGACCAGCUACAUUUACAGUUUGGACUCUUCAGUCCAUCACAAAGCUGCUUCACUCCUGAGUCCCCCAGAGGAUUACUGCUCAGAUCCACCUCAGUCAGCUUGGAGGAUUCUGAGCUGAGAACUGUGUGUAAAGCAGAGCAGCUUCUGUCUGUCAGGUUACACUCACUGAGCCUGAAAGGAGAAAAUAUCAUCUCUUAAAGCAUUCAUCUGAUCUUAAGAACUUCUGUAGCUCAAACACUUCCAGAUCCUCCUCUGAUGUCAGCAACACAAAGACCAGAGCAGA